AUGGAACCAUUAGUGGUGAAGCAAACAGAUGGGGAUAUCAAAAGGAAUAGGCUGCGGCUUAGAGUAACCGUUGAUUCACUACGGUGGUUAGCAUUCCAAGCUUGCCCCUUUCGAGGACAUGAUGAAAGUCUGGAUUCGAAGAACCAAGGUAAUUUCCUUGAAAUGGUGAAACUGAUAGCUUCUUAUGAUGAGGAAAUUGGUGUUGUAGUGUUGGGUAAUGCUCCAGGCAAUGCUAAGUACACAUCGCCUACAAUUCAAAAAGAACUUCUAGGUAUCAUUGCUUCUAAGGUGCAAAGUGAAAUCCGUAAAGAAAUAGGAGAUGCUAAGUUCUGCUUGCUUGUUGACGAGUGAAGAGAUGAAUCCAAAAAAGAGCAAAUGGCAGUAGUUAUUCUUUUUGUUGAUAAACCUGGUUUCACUCGUGAGCAUUUUCUUGAUAUUGGUCAUGUUGCUGAUACAUCUUCGGCUACUCUAAAAGAAGAGAUAUCUUCUGUUUUGGUUCAACAUCAGUUAGAUGUGAACAAUAUUCGCGGCCAAGGAUACGAUGGUGCUAGCAACAUGCAUGGAGAGUGGAAUGGACUGACAAGCAAAGUUCAUGGAGGAGUGUCCUUAUGCAUAUUAUAUCCAUUGUUUUGCUCAUCAGUUGCAGCUAGCUCUUGUUGCUGCAUCAAAAGAAGUAGCCGAUGUUCACAACUUUUUUGA
rnacentral:rRNA from 1 species